CCUACGGGCGGCUGCAGUAGGGAAUAUUAGAAAUGGACGAAAGUCUGAUCUAGCAACACCGCGUGUGCGAAGAAGGCCUUCGGGUCGUAAAGCACUUUUUGGAAGGAAUAGGAAGGAAUGUACUUCCAGAAUAAGUCUCGGCUAACUACGUGCCAGCAGCCGCGGUAACACGUAGGAGGCAAACGUUAUCCGGAUUUACUGGGCGUAAAGCGCGUGUAGGUGGUACUGUAAGUAGGGCGUGAAAGCUCCUGGCUCAACUGGGAGAGGCCGUUCUAAACUACAGAACUAGAGGAUGGUAGAGGGAGGUGGAAUUCCAGGUGUAGCGGUGGAAUGCGCAGAUAUCUGGAGGAACACCGGUGGCGAAGGCGGCCUCCUGGACCAUUCCUGACACUCAGACGCGAAAGCUAGGGUAGCAAACGGGCUUAGAUACCCUGGUAGUC
rnacentral:rRNA from 1 species